GUGUGUGUGUGUGUGUGUGUGUGUGUGUGUGUGUGUGUGUGUUGGAGUAGGUGGGGGGGUUGCAAAAUUCUGGAUACAUAAGCAGGAUCCUAAACAGGAUCAACAUAGCGGUUUCAAGCUUCGGUUCCUUGUGCUGCUAUCUUCUGGUGGGCGUCUCUUGGCGACCUGGGGGCAGUGUACUGACUGAGAUGAGAGAUGGUCAAAACUUCUCGAUGCAGUAAUAUUGCUGAUUCUUCACAACUGAUAUAGAUUAGAUGCCUCGCAAGGCAGAAGGUCAUCCACCCAAUCACAAUUGGACCGGCAGCGGUGUUCGACGUCUUUGGUAGUCAGCGGAUUUGGAUGGAUAAGAUGGCGGCUCGUUGUCGUGACGAUCGUUUCGAUGAACUCUUCUGAUAUUCACUUUUUGCAGCUUGUGAAGACGGUGUCCUGUAUUUGUGACUGUUGUGCUAGCCUUUAAAAAAAAUCUCUCAAGCUCUUCAUUAAA